ACGGUUUUCAUUAUAAAUAUGAAGAUUAAAAUUUCAUUCCUUCGACAGGAUAUUCAUUGUGGACUAUUAUUCUCAUUAGAUGUACAUUAAUGUUUCCGUCAAAAUAUUGCGUUCUCUUUGCAGAAACACUUUGAUCAUUCGAAGUAGAUCACGAAUGUUCAUGAUAAUACACAUCUAUAAUCAAAUGAUAUCGCAAUUGGCUCAUAUUUAGAUUGGGUGAAUACUUAAUGUGUACGCAAGGCAUCAAAGCGUUAUUAAACAAUGGUCUCGAUCUAGAAAUCAAAGCAAAUAUUAGAUAAAUUCAAUUUACCUUCUGUCAUCAAUUUUUUUUAGGAAUAUAAUUAUUCCAUUGUUCACAACAGGCUUAACGAGUAUAAUGUUUGUGUUUAAACGAAACCAUAUUUUAUCCCAAUCUAUUGUUGUGAAUCGAGAACAAGAACCUUUCGUCAGUGAAGCAUUAUAAUAAUAUUCCGAAAGUAGAAAUGUCUCGUUGCAUAAGUUGACAAAUUAGCAACACUGGCAAGUACAGUUUUGUUUUGUUCAGAUCAACUGCUCAUGAUGAUUGCUUUUGUUUCUGCUGAGAAGUUAUAUUCUUUCUAUUUGAAAAUGAAACUGCACAAUUAACAGUCUCAGUAUACAUGUUAUGUUAUUCUUCUUUUUCAGAAAGUUUAUCCAAAGAAUUAAAACUUAUAUUACUUGGUACAUGCAUUCCUAUAUUUCUGAUCGUCAUAUUUGUUUUAUUUAUGAUAAUCUUGAAAAAAACGAAAACAUCACAUGAAGAUGACCACGAUUGGGAGAUUACCAAUUUUCAUCAACUCAUACUGUCCUGUUUUCUAACGAAGGAAAGAGGAAGCAACUGGAACAGCAGCAUGAGGUCUAGCACAACCAGCAAACCUCUCGAUAAAUUAGAUCAAACGGAAGCAUGCCUUAAUAGUGAGAAAAAUGGAGAAAGCAAAAGUAAUACGAAAUCAGAAAUCACUGAACAUUUCCUAAUAGGGACUUCAGAGUAUCAAGGGGAAUCAGGAGAUACGCUGAAUGGAGUUUCAGUAAACAGUUCGAAGGAAAUUGACAUUUUGUGUUAAUUGUCCUUAGUUGCCAAAUGCUUUUCUGAAAUAUUGUACAACUUCUAAAUGAUAGAAAAAGAAAUCAGGGGAAGGAGAUCUCAAAACAGAAACAAACAAAAAGAUACGAAUCCAAGAAAAACACGAUGACCAAAAAAAAAACAUCCAUAACGAUCAACCCGCCGAGUAAUAAUGGCAUCCGUAAAACUUUCGUACACAUGACAUUAAUUUUGCCAUCAGGAGAUAUUGGCUCAGUUUCUACAAAUUGGACGAUGAAAACCAAAAAAAAAAAAAAAAACUAAAAAUGCUUUUGCGGAAUAAGUUUGUUUUUUUCCCAUGGUCAUGAUUUGUUUGAGCUGAUUUGUUAUAUUCGUCUGUCCUAUGUGUUAUUGUUGAUAUAAUGAAACGCAAAAAAGGAUAAAUAACAUUGCCAAAGAUACUGUAAAUUCAGAAAUUAUUGCGAUGAUUUUAUUAUUGCGACAAAUGCGACAGGGUUAUAAUCGCAAUAAUUUAAACUCGCAUUUUGAAUUUUUUUAUAUGAAUUAAACAGGAUUUUUCUUAAUAUCGCAAAAAUUAAAAUCGCAUUUUAGUCUAAGAUGACAAAAUCGCAAUAAUAAAUGCACGCAAUAAUUUCUGAAUUUACAGUAUUGCAUAGUUACUUAAUUUUGUCUAGGUUUAAUUAUUUUUAUGUAAGUGUUUUGUUCCCGUUGUUUUGAAUAAUUGAUAAAUAUAUAUUGUACGAUUCUGGCAUUGUGCCUUUUUGUUUUUCAAUGUAUGUGUUUUUUACACAGGUAAAAGUCUGUUGUUGUCUCUUUGACAUAUUUCCCUUUUCUAUUCUAUAUUCUAUAAUCUAUCAUUUGUCAUGAAAAACGUGUUAUACUGAUAUAUAUAUAUAUCAAAUUUUCACAGUUAGUUAAGUUUCAUAACAUUUACUUUCUGAUUGUUUAUUAAUUUAGUGAUGUUUAAGGGUUUGAUAAGAGUCAAUUUCCAAUCCCACAAUUUUGCGAUGAUUAAUCAUUUGAUAAACCUAUCAACGUAUUGUUUUAGAAGUCACUCGGCUAAUGUUGCAUGUGGACCAGGAUCUGCUUAUCCUUCCAGAACACCUGCGAUUACCACUGUUUUUGGUGGGGUUCGUGUUGCUCAGUCUUUAGUUACCUAUGUUGUUUUUUUUGUGUACUGUUGUUUGUUUUUUCAGCGUAAUUGCCGUGGCCUUGUGAGUUUGAUUAUUUCUUAUUUUUUUUCACCUCUCGCUUUCUAAAUAAUAUGAAAUAUUCAAGUUAUUUUUUAUAAAGUGUCAAGCGUUGCGUUGCAACUCAUGAUUUUUUUAUUUUUUAUUUUGUCUUGACAUUUACAUAUGUUAAUUUGUUUUGUAAACAUGUAUUUGUAUACAUCUUGUUGUUUGCAAAUACUUUUUCUAGAGUUCUUGUAAAAGAAUCAUUGGUAUUUAGUGAUUGUUAAUUAAUAUCAUCUUUCAUAUGGCAUGUGUAGCAAGACUUAUAUUUAUUCAUGUAUAACUUCACAGAAUAUAAUGUACUCAAUAAGAAUAUAAUGUACGGACUUAGACUGCGUCAUGGUAUAAGUGGAAUAGAUCAUUCAAUUAUAUGGCAAAUUCAUGAAUUACUAAUAUUUUUUUUCCUUUUACCCUUUAAAUUUGGUUUUUACUUUAAGGAUAUUAUACAAUUGAUGAACUAAGGCUGUAUCCCAAAAUGCUUUAAGAUUUAGUGUUAGUCUCCUAGAUAUCAUGAGCUUUCUUUGGAUUUAGAAAAAACGCCCACUAUUUAUUGGCAUAUACUAAAUAAUAAAUUGUAUAUGGAGGAACACUAUUUAUCUAUAUUUUUGUUAAUAAUUGUGAUACACUGCAUAAGUUUGUGUCAUUUAUUACGGUAGAACAUUAAUGUUGAAUUAAGGUAGCACAAUACAAAAGCAACUAAAUUUUAUCAAAAUUUCAUUUUCAGCUGUUUUUGUUACUUCUUAAUAUUCCAAAACCACAGAAGAAAAAUUCAUUUACAUAUCUUGAACUGUUAAUGAGUUUUGAUGAUAAUUAGUUUUAUAAACAAAUGCACGUGUCUGACUGAUACAAGAUAAGAACAUGUGGGUAGUACUAUGUGGUUAUUCAAUAGAAUCAUUUGAUAGCUUUAUGACCACUGACCAGCAAUACAAAAAACAGUUACGAAAAAGAGGUGGAUUAGGGAUUAAUGGAAUAAUUAAGAUAAUGAAUAAAAAUAAAAAUACAUUUCAUUAUUGGAGCUGCCAGGAGAAAAAAAAAGUAACAAUUUGGAGAUAUAGAGUGAAUCAAAAUAUAAAUGUACAGAAAUUAAACAAAUGUAAUUGUAUAACAAUUAAUGUAAUGGAAUGUCUUGGGGGAGAAUGUUUAGAUGUGAAUUCUUUUCAAAAGAAAAUACAAAUCAAAUAUUUCAUUUUCAAACUGCAAAAUUGAACAAAAUCUCCUAUGUGUAAAACACCAUAUUGUCCUUGUAUACAAUUACAAUUCUAAAAAUCCCCCAUAAGGAUCCCCUAAACUAACAAACUGAUAAUUUUGUAUACACAUGCAUAACUUACUUUUUGUAACAAAAAAAACAAAAUAUAUUAUGUUAUGUUAAAUGAAUAAAAUCCAUAUUGAAAAAAGUAAAUGCAAUGUGUAAUUAAACUUCUGAGAUCAUUAGUAGUAAAUGUUUAUCAUGGUGGGCGGAGUUUUGAUCAUAUCAGUAGCAACUGACUUAAAACAAGGUCAAUAAUGAUAUAACAUCUCCCGCCAGAUCCGGUUUCGGUGCAUAGGGUGUGCAUUAUCUCUAUAUAUUUAGAAUUGCUGAAAUUGAAUGCUUUCUUACUGGUCAAAACCUAAUUGAUUUAUGAUUGAAGGCCAAUCCCGAAAUAUCCAAAUGGCACAUGUGUGAAUUAUAUUGAAGUUAAUGGGGUACAAGUAGGAAAAUCCUUAUUUAUUCAAUUGUGACACAUUCAUUUUUGUCAUGAAAAUGUAGUUUUAAAUGAAUUUAGCUCCUAGAUGGGUGCCCCUAUAUGUCUGAUUUUCACACAUGUUGUUUCUUGACCAGUUAUCUUCAAAAGGGUGUCUCAGAUUUCCAAAAACAUCAAUAGAACAAAUUUUAUACCCAAUUAAAUUUAGUGAUCUCUUAUGAAUUUAAGUUGCAAACUUCAUUGAAUGUUUAUGAGAGAAUGAAAUACAA